CAGAAACGACAUGUCAGAGUUCGGUCGUGCACAACGUUUAGGCUCCUACAUGGUGACAAAAUAAAUUGAAGCAUAUCAUUCACGGCUGGAAAUUAAUAUGAAGAAAAAUGAAAAAUGAGUAAAAAAGGCACUUAAUUCUAUUUUAGAGAAGAGGUUAACUUAUAAGUACUAUUUUAGAGAAGUUAAAUUUGUAGAUACUAUAAGGGUUGAUUUGGUGAGAAGUGAUCACGGGAGAUUGGAGAAGAUUGAGGGGAAAAUUAGUUUAUUUUCUCCUCAAUUCUCUCCAAUCUUCCGUGAUCCACUUGUCACCAAAUCAGCCCUAAAGAGAAACCUGUUUAAACGAGUGUUAUAAUACCAAAUCUCUAGCAGACGGGAACCUGCGAACCUGAACCCUCAAACCCCGCCCGUUGGCCUCCCAUACCUUCCGCGCCGAACACCCGCCGUCGCCAAAACUGACGGCUCCUCCCCCUCUCCCCUCUCCCCUUUUGUGAUUGGACUGAAGUGGGAUUCAUAUAUCAGGUGUUUGGAUUCUUCUCUUUCCUCUGCUGGCGUGGACGUCGGUCUUCUUCUUUUUGUGCUGUUUCCCCCCUUUAUCUUCUCAUUCAGCGAUCUUCAAAUUCAAUAUGUUGUCUGUCGGAUUGGCGCUCUAGUCUGGUGGGUUUGCUUUCAGAUUUGCCGAGUAUCAAUCCGGGUCCCCAUUCGGUGGUGGCUGAAGCUCGGUUUCUCCAUGGCGCUCCGUGCAGCUUCAUGAAUCCAUGUUCUCAAGUGUAUUUGAUCAUGAUUCUAUAAACAACCAUCUUAUAUUACUAAUCUGUAGGAGUUUUUUUUACAUGUUGGUGGUCCAAGCUGAAAAAAAUAACUUAGGACAAAGCUAGAUUGUCUUUUACAUUUGUGAUUGGAAGGAGUAGGCUUUUUCAUUAUCCAGUGGCAGUUAUAGACAGUUGUUGCGCUCGUGCAGCUUCAAAUAUUUUGGGAUGUUGCCAUGUUAAGGUAUUAGCCUUUUGUUGUUUCAGUAUACUAGCUUCCUAAAGGAUCGAUGUCGGCUAUCUCCGAUCAGAAGAAACGCACCUUGGAAGCCCUUCAGCAACAAUAUACUGCUGCAAAAGCUAAGAAAUUGCAAGAUGAACAGGUUAAGAGUCAGAAGAAGAGCAAUUUUAAUACCCCUAAGCCUAAAUUUGAUGCACCAAGGGGAAGCAAAGGCAAGGUUUUGUUUAUCAGCAUUUUCUAUCAUGCUGCUGCUGCUUUUCAGAUGUAGCAUUUUCUAGUUCUAAUUGUCAACAAAAGCCUUCCACGUCCUCAGGUGAAGAAAUCAAUCCUGUGUAUGCUGAACUUUCUUGUGCUUUUCAUGACACUUUGUCCAAAGGAUUUGGAUGGCACAGAGGUUGUUCACAAUGUUAUAUAUGACAUAAUUCAGAAAGGUGGAGAUGCUGAGAAAAUUACAAAGGGAGCCAAAAGGUUGAAACUGGAAAAAGGGAUCCUUUUGGAUAAUUAUGGUCAAAGGGGUUCUAGAUUAGUGGAUGACCAAGCAAGAUCUUUGCUAAUUCAUUCAAAGCGAUCAAAAAGGCACAUGUCUCUGAAACAACAUAAGAAAUGUGGUUCAUUUGAUUUAGAUGGUACAUUCCACAAGUAAGUUUUGUUCUGGUCAGUGUUCGGCUAGGCGCCGACUAGGCGGCGAUUAGGCGCGCCUAGGCGCUAGUCGAUAGGCUGCCGCGUAGCCUAGGGUCCUGUGCGGCGUCUAGGCGGCCGCGGUGACUAGGCGGCGCUCAGCCGCGCCUAGGCGGCGAGUUGGCGGCGCGCAGGCGAGCGCGCGGCAAUUUUUAGCGCGCGCGCGCGCGCGGGAGUUUUAGCGCGGGGGAGUAUUAGCGCGCGCUGUGCAGCCGCUCGGUCUCCCUCCCACACGGUCACGGAAAUUGCUCCCCCGCCGCCGCUCAUCCCCUCCUGCUGCUCCCCCGCCGGCUGCUCUCCUCCCUGCUCCCCCGCCGUGUACAAGUGAAAGAAAUCAAAGGAUUAAGGUUUAAGGAUGUCAUCAGAAACUGCAGCUGCACCUUCUGAAACUGAAGCAGCUAGAGCGAAUCUCCUAAAAAGAAAUUCAGAUGAUGUUGGAUGGGAAUAUGGUGUUCUUGUUGAUGCUAACAACAAAGACAAGGUGAAGUGUAAGUUCUGUGACAAGGAGAUGAGGGGAGGGAUUUAUAGGUUGAAGGAGCAUCUUGCCCAUGUUGGAAAGAAUGUGAAGAAAUGCACGUCUGCAACACCGCAGGCUCUAGAGGCUAAAGAGAAGUGCAAGAAAGCAAUAGAGGCUGCAAAAAGGAAGAGGGAGGAGAAGACUGUUCGUGAGCUAGAACUUAGAGAGGAAGUGAAUGUAUCUAGGGUUGGAGAGGAGUCAGAAGAAGUCACUUGUGUUGGAAGCUCACAGCCUCACAAAUUAGGGCCAAUUGACAAAUGGACACGUGCUAUUGAUCCUACCAAGGCUGGUUCAUUCAAACAACAGCAGCUGAACAAGGAACUAUGGAAAGAAAGAGAGCAUGAGGUGCACAAGUUUAUUGCAAGAUGGGCCUAUAAUCAUGGAAUACCUUUCAAUGCAUGUGACAAUGAUGAGUUCAAGCAAAUGUGUGAAGCAAUUGGACAAUUUGGACCAGGACUUACACCUCCAACUCAAGAUGCCUUUUGAGGUAGUUUGCUGGAAGAAGAAUAUGAAAGAACCAAGUGUUUGCUGCAGGAACGUGAAGCCGAGAAGAUGAAAAAUGGGUGCUCUAUUAUGACCGAUGCUUGGUCAGAUAGGAAGAGGAGAAGCAUAAUGAAUAUAUGCACUAAUUGUGCUGAUGGAACCUCCUUCAUCAGCUCAAAAGAGAUGUCAGAUGUGUCACACACAAGCGAAGUCAUUUUUGAAUUAGUGGACAAAGCAAUUGAAGACAUUGGUGAAGAAAAUGUGGUGCAAGUAGUCACUGACAAUGCCUCUAACAACAUGGGAGCAAAGAAGCUAUUGCUUGAGAAGAGACCACAAAUAUUUUGGACCUCUUGUGUAGCUCACACAAUCAACUUGAUGCUCCAAGGAAUUGGCAAAUUGCCUCGGUUCAGGAAAGUGAUUGACCAAGCAAAGUCAUUUACCAUAUUUGUGUAUGGCCACACAAGAACAUUGGAGUGCUUGAGAUACUUCACAGAGGGGAAAGAGCUAGUGAGGCCAGGAGUGACUAGGUUUGCUUCAUACUUUCUCACUUUGAACAGUAUGCAAGAGAAGAAGGACCAGUUAAGGAAGAUGGUAGUUCAUAGCAGGUGGGACUCAUUAAAGGAUGUGGAAUCAAAGAAAGGAAAAGAGGCCACAGCUACUAUAUUGAGUCCAGCCUUUUGGAAGGAUGUGAAGCUAAUGUUGGCUGUUUUUGAGCCAUUGGUCAAAGUCCUCCGUUUGGUUGAUGGGGAUGUGAAGCCAUCCAUGGGUUUCCUUUAUGGAGAGCUACUAAAGGCAAAAAGAGAGAUCAAAGAGGCCUUUGGCAAUGUUGAGUCUCGAUUCAAAGAUGUUAUGGCUGUAAUUGAGAAGAAGAUGAAUGGAAGACUUGAUUCUCCAUUGCAUUUGACAGCUUUUUUGCUGAAUCCACACUAUAGCUAUGCUAACCCAUCAAUAUUUGAUGAGCCCAAAAUGAAUGAAGCCUUCAUAUCUUGUGUCGAGCAAUUUUAUUAUCAUGAUGAGGACCAACAAGAACAGGCUGCCAACUUUGAAUUGAAAAAAUUUCAGAAUAGAGAAGGACCAUUUAGCAAGAAGCUUGCAAGAACUUUUCAAAACUAUGAUUACAAUCCAGCAUCAUGGUGGCGGUUAUAUGGAACUGAAACACCAGCUUUACAAAAGAUGGCUACAAGGAUAUUAUCUUUGACAUCAAGCUCUUCUGGUUGUGAAAGAAAUUGGAGUGGGUUUGAAGGGAUACACACUAAGAAGAGAAAUAGGCUGACUACAACCCGCCUCAACAAGUUGGUCUAUAUUCAGUUCAAUAACAGGCUGAUGAAUAACAGAGAAAAGAUUAAGUCAAAGAAAAUCACUGAUGUUCUCUUGUCUAGUGAUACAACUGAAGCUCAAGGUUUUCUCCAAGAGGGUGGAGAUGAUUGUGCACAAGUUGUCUUUAGAGAUGAGGAGGAAGAUGAGAUGGAAGGUACAGGGAUACCUUGGUCUAUUAUUGGAGAGGCAAUUGGAGCAGAAGAACAGCUUGAGCCUCGUAGAAGUGCAAGAGUGAGAGAGCUCUAUGAAGGAGAAGAGUUUGAGUCUGAAGAAGAAGAGUAUGAAGAUGAAGAUUUGUGCUACAGUGAAGAUGAAAUAUGAUCUGGACCAUCUCCAUCUAGUAGUGAAGCCUUUUGUGAUGCCCUGGUCUUAUGAACUGCAGCUGUGUCACUUUGUGUCUGUGUGUCUUCUUUUGUGUGAGACCUGAACUAAGAACUAUGUGCUUGUGUUGUCCUUUAUUUAUAAAUUGUGUUCUGCACUUGUAUUACUGUCCUAUCCACUUGUGUUGUAAUUACCAGCUGCUGAUAUGGUGUGCAGUGUGCUCAACUGCUCAUGAAUGGGAGGCUGCUGAAAUCAUCCAGAUAAGUCACAAUUUAGUGUUUUCUAUUUUUUUUAUGAACAGCUAGCUGUCUAUUGACUAAUUUACUAACUACUAGCUGUCAAAAUGUGUUGCAGCCUUGCAGGAGCUAGGAACAUGCAAGAGUAAGCUAAGCUAGGAAUCAGAUAUGUCUACUGGCCUUCUUUUUAUACUUACUGUGACUCAUAUAGUCAUAUAUAGUAGUUAUAUACGUAUAUAUAGUUAUAUACAUAAUAUAUAUAAUUUAUGGCUAUAUUGCUAAAACGCCUAGAAAAGCGCCUAGAAACGCCUAAGACCGAGUACUCCCGACUAGGCGCUAGGCAAUGGGUCACCGCCUAGAUUCCGCCUAGCGCCUAGCUGAACCUUGGUUCUCGUUGCCCAUAGAUUGAUACCUCACCACCAAAAAACAUGACUUUUUUUUUGUUUCUGUCUACACGAAGCUACAGUUUAUGUCCUUGCUCAAAUUUCCACAUAGCACCUGAUGUUCUUGAUCUUGUAGGUACGACCUCUAUAAGCUAAUGCAUGAGAUGUGGAAGGACUAUAUCAAAGAGCUUAUGGAUAUGAGCCCGAAAAAGAAAUUUACUGAGAACCUUCUUUCAGCAGAUCUUCAUGGGGCCCUUCUAAUAGAGUGUAAACGGAAUCAUGAUUCGGGAUACUGCAGAGACGUUUGGAAUUAUAUCCGAGGACAACCGCUUCCGGGUUUACCAAAAGCUGGUUCAGUUUUCGUACUUCAAGCAGACCGCUGGAAGUUCACACUGAUCGGCGACAAGCUCUCGCCCAGGGAGAAGUUGAAGGAGGAUCAGCGUCAACAACGUGCGCAAUCGCUAAUCAGAUAGUUUCCAAUGUGCCAGCUGUUCUCUCACAAAUCUUUUGCUCCACGGAAUACUUGCUUUUGUUUAGGUCCUGCCACUGUAGCAUGGUAGUUUUAUCGCUCUAGAGGCGUUGACAUUUCUUAGCGACUUACUGGCAGCUCGAGUUGUGGAGGGGUGUGUGAUCAUGAGCCAUGUACUCCGGUGACUGAUUAUUGAUUAGUAUAGGCGUAGCAAGGCCAUUUACGUUUGUUUCAUCUAGUCACACAAACCUGUGGCAAAUAUUUA